GUGCCAGCCGCCGCGGUAAUACGUAGGUGGCGAGCGUUGUCCGGAAUUACUGGGUGUAAAGGGCGUGUAGGCGGGAAGAUAAGUCAGAUGUGAAAUUCCGGGGCUCAACCCCGGCGCUGCAUCUGAAACUAUUUUUCUUGAGUGCUGGAGAGGAAAGCGGAAUUCCUAGUGUAGCGGUGAAAUGCGUAGAUAUUAGGAGGAACACCAGUGGCGAAGGCGGCUUUCUGGACAGUAACUGACGCUGAGGCGCGAAAGCGUGGGGAGCAAACAGGAUUAGAUACCCCGGUAGUCC
rnacentral:rRNA from 1 species